rnacentral:misc_RNA from 1 species
UAGUGUUCAGUAUGGAAG